AUGGUCGUCUCUGCUGUCAAGGGGAGGGCGAUCGGGAACCAGCCGCUGGCCCGGUCGCUCGCCCGCAUCAGGGAGCUGCUCUACGGCGCGGAAGAUCUGGUGGACGAGCUCCACUACUGGAGGCUCCAGCAGCAGCUGGAAUUGGAAGGAGGCACAAGGCAUGACCUUGACGAAACGGAUGCACAUGGAUCACUGCAAGUGGAGAGAUCGACUGGGAGUAGCAGUGUUGGCGGAUUACGGUCCGAGUCCUGGGGACACUUUGAUAUCGAGGAAUUUGUUGAAAAUGGAGGGCCUGUCAAAGCAAUAUGUAAACACUGCCGUGCAGUGGUUGUGUGCACAACUGACAAGGGGACACCUAUUUUGUGCAAGCAUCUCAAGAGUAAAAGUUGUAAGAAGAAACGUGGAGCAAGUGACCCUUCAAGCACUGGUGAUGCUACUGCAAGUGCUACUUCUACUGCAACUGAUGGUAUUUCAUCCACCAGAAACAUGAGAGGGUCUGAGGUUGAGGAGCCAAAACACGGCACCAGAUCCGACACAUACACUUGGGACAAGGUCACCUUUUCCAAUAGGAUAAAAGACAUAACUCAUCAGUUGCAAGGCAUCCGAGGAGAUGUGAGAGCAGCUCUAAUGAUACUUGGGUCAGACUCUAGUGCAAGUUCAAACCACCAUGUAGAACAUCCACACCGUAGAACAUCAAGUCUUGUUCAGGGAAAAGUUUAUGGGAGAGAUUAUGAGAAGGCAGAAAUCAUACGGCUGAUAAAAGGACACAAAUUAUCUAGCAGUGUAACAGUUCUGACUGUUUUAGGCAUUGGUGGGGUUGGGAAGACAACCCUUGCUCAACUGGUAUACAACGAUCCAUCUGUGGAAAGUCAAUUUGACCACAGAAUAUGGAUUUCAGUGUCCAACAAAUUUGAUGAAACGAGAAUCUCAAGAGAGAUGUUGGAUUUUGUCUCCCAAGGAACACAUGAAGGGCUGUACAGCUUUGCCAGGCUUCAGGAGGUCUUGAGAGGUUAUGUUAAAUCAAAGAGGGUUCUACUUGUUUUAGAUGAUGUCUGGGAUGACAUGAAUGAUUGCCAGUGGAACCAACUAUUAGCCCCUUUCAAAUCUGACAAUGCAAAAGGCAAUAUCAUACUUGUGACAACUAGAAAACCAUCUGUUGCAAAAAGGAGAGGUACGGUUGAACCAAUUAAGUUACAUGGUUUGAAAGAAGAUGAUUUUUGGAUAUUGUUUAAAGCGUGUGUGUUUGGUGAUGAGAACUAUGAAGUGAAAGGUAGUCUUAGGACUUUGGCAUGGCAGAUAAUAGAGAAGUUGAAAGGAAACCCGCUAGCUGCAGAAACUGCAGGGGCAUUAUUAAGACAGCAUCUUACCAGUGAACAUUGGAGUAACAUUCUGAAGAGCGAAGAUUGGAAAUCCCUGCAACUCAGAAGAGGCAUUAUGCCUACUUUGAAGCUUUGUUAUGAUCAACUGCCCUACCAUUUACAACAAUGCUUCUCAUAUUGUGCUAUAUUCCCUUGCAAUUAUCGGUUUCUCGCUGAGGAGAUAGUUCGUAUUUGGAUUUCACAGGGAUUUGUGAAGUGUAGUCAUUCAGGUAUGAGAUUGGAUGAGAUAGGACGGCUCUAUCUGACUAAUUUAGUGAACCUGGGCUUCUUUCAGCAGAUUGAAGGAGGCUACUCUUCAAACAAUCAAACUACUUAUGUUAUGUGUGGUCUUAUGCAUGAUUUCGCAAGGGUAAUUUCAAGAGCUGAGUGUGCAACUUUGGAUGCUCUACAGUGCAAUGAAAUUUCAUCAACUGUGCUACAUUUGUCAAUAGUAACUGGUCGUGUGUAUUGGUAUGAUGAGAAGUUUCAACAGAUAUUGCGAAAUACAUUGAAAAAAGUUAAAAAUUUGAGAUCAUUGGUCUUAAUUGGACAGUACGACUCCCAAUUGUUCCAACAAGUAUUUGAGAAGGCACACAAUUUGCGUCUGUUACAAGUAUCUGCAACUGCUGGGUCUCAUUCCUUCCUAUGCGGUUUGGUAAAUCCUACACAUCUUCGGUAUCUAAACCUACAGGAUGCUCAUGUUUGGCCGGGAGAUUUACCACAAGUUUUGAGCAAGUUUCUCCACCUUCAAGUAUUAGAAGUUGGCUUAUGCCGUGAUACUUCGUUUACCCUUGAGCGGAUGGUUAAUCUAGAGGAUUGUGGUGAAAGGCUUAUAUUUCCAUCUCUAGAAAGACUUCCGUUUCUUACGACGUUCAAGUUGAGCAACCUGCGGAAAAUUAGAGAAGUAUCAGUUCCAUCAUUGCAGGAGCUGAUUUUAGUUGAAAUGCCAGAGUUGGAGAGAUGCACCUGCACGUCCCUAGGGGAUUUGAACUCUAGUUUAAGGGUACUGGAGAUCCGGAGCUGCCCUGCACUCAAGGUGUUCGAUCUGUUUGAGAAAGGUCAUAACUUUGUUGAGCAGCCAUCAUUGUAUGAAGGUCAUAACUACGAAACUGGGUGGAAGCUAUGGUUGCCCGGUCUUAGAGUACUCACAGUAAUCAAUUGUCCUCAUUUACUGAUGCCGUGUCUCCUACCACAUUCAACUAAUGUUUCUAGACUGCACAUCGACGGAGUUCCAACACUUCUGAAGAUGGAGGGAUCGUCCACAGAAAAUCUAGAAAUUUCUCCAAAUAGUCGAUCUGGUGAGAAUUCCGAUGAGACAGAGCUAAUAAUUCGAUGCUGUCCUGGGCUGCUCUCAUCCUUGGCGCAUAAUGAAGGAAAUGAUGUCCAGGCAAACAGAACAUGGCUUCUUCCACAGCCACUUGGACAAGUUGUGAUCAGUAACUAUGACCACAAAACACUAUCACUCUGCUUCAUGGGUAAUCUCACCUGUCUCAGAAAAUUGGAAGUAUUGGAAAGCCCAGGCUUGGAAUCUCUACAGCUGCAUUCCUGCACAUCGCUUGAAGAUUUGAGAAUUCGUGAAUGCAAACAGCUUGCCACAGUAAAGGGAAUGCAAUCCCUUGUGAACCUCAUGAAUUUGGAAGUACAAGAAAACCCUAGCUUGGUAUCUCUACAGUUGCAUUCCUGCAGGUCGCUGGAAGAUCUGAGAAUUGAAAAAUGUGAAUCACUCAUCGCACUAGAGGGCUUGCAAUCCCUUGUGAACCUCAGAAAUUUGGCCCUACUCAACUCCCCUGGCUUGCCUCCAUAUUUGGAACGUUUGUUGGGGCACUAUGAGUUGUGCCCUCGACUCGAAAGUCUUCACAUUGAUGACUUGUCUCUCCUUAACAUGUCACUGUGCAAAGGCCUCACUUGCCUCCAAUGCCUACGACUUGAGAAGCUGGAACGGGGAGGGACAAGACUAACAGAUGAGCAAGAGAGAGCGCUACUGCUCCUCAGGUCCCUGCAAGACCUUGAAUUUCAAGAUUGUUUAAACCUCGUACAUCUUCCUGCGAGACUGCACAGCCUUCCUUCCCUCAAGACAUUGAUGAUCGUUUGUUGUGAAGACAUCCCAAGGCUGCCUAAGAAGGGCCUCCCAUCUUCGCUGGAACGGCUAGUGAUAUACGAUUGCAGUACUGAGCUAAGAAAACAGUGUGAAUCGCUAACAAGAGGCAAGCUAAGGGUUACGAUGAAUGACUGA
rnacentral:rRNA from 1 species